rnacentral:rRNA from 1 species
UAAGCGCCGGUAAGGUGAUAUGAACCGUUAUAACCGGCGAUACCCGAAUGGGGAAACCCAGUGUGUUUCGACACACUAUCAUUAACUGAAUCCAUAGGUUAAUGAGGCGAACCGGGGGAACUGAAACAUCUAAGUACCCCGAGGAAAAGAAAUCAACCGAGAUUCCCCCAGUAGCGGCGAGCGAACGGGGAGGAGCCCAGAGCCUGAAUCAGCAUGUGUGU